GAUGAAGAACGUAGCGAAAUGCGAUAAGUAGUGUGAAUUGCAGAAUUCUGUGAAUCAUCGAAUCUUUGAACGCACAUUGCGCCCUUUGGUAUUCCAAAGGGCAUGCCUGUUCGAGCGUCAUUUGUACCCUCAAGCUUUGCUUGGUGUUGGGCGUCUUGUCUCUAGCUUUGCUGGAGACUCGCCUUAAAGUAAUUGGCAGCCGGCCUACUGGUUUCGGAGCGCAGCACAAGUCGCACUCUCUAUCAGCAAAGGUCUAGCAUCCAUUAAGCCUUUUUUUCAACUUUUGACCUCGGAUCAGGUAGGGAUACCCGCUGAACUUAAGCAUAUCAAUAAGCGGAGGA
rnacentral:misc_RNA from 1 species